rnacentral:rRNA from 1 species
AUGUACCCUGUAGCAUGGGCUUUUGUGGAAAAAGAAACUAGAGAGACAUGGAAGUGUUUUAUUGGGCUGCUAAUCAAGGAUUUGGAUAUCAAUGAUCAAGGAGAUGGUAAUUUUGUCUACAAGUUUCUUAGUAUGUUUCAUUAUUUGUUCCAUGUGUUAAUGUUGCACUUGUUUUAA